GACGAACGCUGGCGGCGUGCUUAACACAUGCAAGUUGAACGAGAAUUUUUCGAGUGAUUUCUUCGGAAUGAUCAUGAAAACGGAAAGUAGCGAACGGGUGAGUAACACGUGAGAAACCUGCCUUUCACAAAGGGAUAGCCUCGGGAAACCGGGAUUAAUACCUUAUGAAACCAAACACUCGCAUGAGAGAUUGGUUAAAGAUUUAUCGGUGUUAGAUGGUCUCGCGUCUGAUUAGCUAGUUGGUGGGAUAAAAGCCUACCAAGGCAACGAUCAGUAGCCGGAUUGAGAGGUUGAACGGCCACACUGGAACUGAGACACGGUCCAGACUCCUACGGGAGGCAGCAGUGGGGAAUUUUGCACAAUGGAGGAAACUCUGAUGCAGCGACGCCGCGUGAGUGAUGAAGGUCUUCGGAUUGUAAAACUCUGUCCUUAGUGAAGAUAAUGACAGUAACUAAGAAGCAAGCCCUGGCUAAAUACGUG
rnacentral:rRNA from 1 species